GUCAAUUUUAUGAAAACUUCAUUAAGCAUACUGGAGUUUUGUAGAGCUAUAAGCCUAAUUCUUCAGAAUUUCCUUUGUGUGAGCAACAAUAGCUAUUGGUUUACCUUCCGUUUAAAUCCUGAUUAGAAAUCAAUAUAUUUUCAAUAUAUUCAAUAGCCAAUAUAAACCGAUGAUAACAAGAUACGGGAUGAGGCAGGCUCGAGAUUUAUCUCUGCGAUACCGUUCUAUUUGGCCGAGGGAAAAUUCAAUUUGGUUUUUACCUGAGGGUGCUUCGUGCGAACCCUCGUAUCCUCUCUUUAAUGUUGUUGGAUUCUUGGUAACAUUUCCCACCGGUUUCCGGUGCCUUGUUUACAAUGUUAAGAUAAUGUUUCGAAAAACAAACAUGCAUUUAGGAGGGUCGGCCCGUUUAUCUGAUGCUGAGUGAAAAGAUUUAGUGUGUGGGUAAUCAACAUAUAUCUAGGAGGGUGAAUACACGAGUGUAGGUGUCGUCUGUAUUCACGUAACGGUGUCGAGUAGUCACUUAACUCUAGGCGGGCCUUGAGUUGCUAAUUACUGGAGAAACAAGUAUAUCGUCAGCACGUCACACAAGUGAACGCACUUAGAAAUACUAAACGUUACGUAUAACACAUAUGGAGUCCUGUCGAACAUGAAGCACCUGGGACGAAUGGAUUACACAGCAAGAUUGACAGAAGACGCCUGCCUAUAUUAGAAGAUACCGGUAAUUUGCACAUUCAUAGGACAGACUAGUGGAGCGAACACCCUUACUUAUAUUUAUUGUUUAUAUUUAAUUUAAUCUAUUGGACGCAUGGAACGUUUACUUGAAUUUUUUAUUUUAUUCCCUGCGACCUAUUAUAAUUAGCAAUACAGUUAGUUAUAAGUAUACUAUAGAAAAAAGAAUGAGACGAAAGACUUAGAUAUUAUAUAGUUCCAAUUAUGGUAUGCGCUUUACUGAAUGAAAUGGAAAAUUAUAAUACUAAGGCUUAUUAAAAUUUAAAAGACAGGUAAAAUUACAUUGCAGGAACUUAUAAAAAAUAUGGAUUCAUUUUUUUUCUUUAUCGACAGUGUUUCAAAAAGCUUAAAAAGUUUUUAUUCCUAGCAUAAAUGAUUGCUUUCAUAAAAUCACUUUAAUGGCAGAGUGCGCUUGCCAAAUUGCGUUAUAUGUAAAUUACGAUGUAUAAACAUUGUUCAUUCAUCGAUUACUUUUAAUGUUUUCGGUAGGCAGCGGCUUGGCUCUGCCCCUGGCAUUGCUGAAGUCUAUGGGCGACGGUAACCACUCACCAUCAGGUGGGCCGUAUGGUCGUCAGCCUACAAAGGCAAUUAAAAAAAAAAAAUUCAAGACCGAGACUAGUCCAACCUCGUGUGUACAUUAAGCUGUUAUGUCACGGUAAUUUACUUACAAUUUUUUUAAGCACAAAGACAAGCAUAAUCUAAUUGUCGUUUUACCUUUGGAAGCAAUGUACACAGUGCGACCUGACCCAAUGAACAAAUGUUCCGCUUCCAACUGGGACGUGAUUUUAUCACAAACGCAAACAGACAAAGAUUAUUUAACCAAUUUUCACGAGGACUCCCGGGGGAGGGAGCACACCUUUUAAUGUUAUACUCGUACAAAAGCCGCUCGCUAACCAUUCUAACGCAAUCGUAUUUACUUAGGCUUGAACUGACCUGUGCGUCAUAUAUGAUAUUAUAUCGAUCUAAUCGAACAAAGAACUCUAUAGCCGUUCCACCAACCACACGACGUAUGUUUGCAAAACAACUUCGCUUGUUCUGGGAUACUGUUUUUUAUAUUUUGUAUAUCUAUGGCAAACAUAAGAAGUAGUGGAUGUGUCCCUAAAAUACUCCCAUAAACUCGGUAAGACCGAUUCCGACAGUGAAAAUUUCAAGAAAACUCUUAGUAGGCAUCUGUAGCUUAGUAGCGAUCGAAGCUAGCAAAGCGAGCCGAGUUUGUCUUAUAUCAUUUAAUAUGAUAUACUAUAUAAAUAUAAUUUGUUUUAGUACAAUUAUAAUGAAAUUAAAGUAACUGAUGGUGAGGCUUGUGAGCUCGUGCGACAAGGUACCACCGUCCCUACUAUUUUUGCCGCGAAUCACUGAUGGGCUCCAGUUUGGAAGGUGAAAUACAAUACAGUUGUGACUGAACUCAUAUUUCAAAAUUGAUGGCGGAAUUUACUUUUACUCUUGUUUAUGUAUAACCAUAUUACGUUUACUCUUGUCUAUGUAUAACCAUAUAACUACAUGGGAGUCGUGCGCUAGUUUAUCCAACUAGAGAUUUCAUAAAUGUAAAUAUGUAUUAUAAAAAAAAAACAAGCAGCUUAAAUGGCAAAACGAUACUAACAAUAAAAUUAAUUUAAUUUUUUUUAUUUAUCUUGUCGAUAUCGGUCAGGACAUCAGAGCGAAGUUAUAAAACUGUUGUAUUGACAUCGGUCCUUAACGCGUGCGCUAUUUUUUUAAGUUAACCAGACGUCUUGAAGUCGAUAAAAAUAAACAAUAUACAUCAAGCUUAUAAAGUCGUGUUCAAAAAAAAACUUAUUAUUAACAGUUCCAAGUAAAGUUACAUGACGACGACGUUGUUAAUUACGUAUGUUUAAGGCCCAGGUAAAAUAUACCUAUUUUCAUUUAAACUGAGAGAGAUUCGAAGUUUUCACCAGGUACUGAUAAAAUAUUAACCAUUAUCUCAUACGAACUGAGUGCUCACGGUAA